GACGAACGCUGGCGGCGUGCUUAACACAUGCAAGUCGAACGGUGACGAGGAGCUUGCUCCUCUGAUCAGUGGCGAACGGGUGAGUAACACGUGAGCAACCUGCCCCAGACUCUGGGAUAACAGUUGGAAACAGCUGCUAAUACCGGAUACGAGGCGGAGAAGCAUCUCUACCGUCUGGAAAGUUUUUCGGUCUGGGAUGGACUCGCGGCCUAUCAGCUAGUUGGUGAGGUAAUGGCUCACCAAGGCGACGACGGGUAGCCGGCCUGAGAGGGCGACCGGCCACACUGGGACUGAGACACGGCCCAGACUCCUACGGGAGGCAGCAGUGGGGAAUAUUGCACAAUGGGCGAAAGCCUGAUGCAGCGACGCCGCGUGAGGGAUGAAGGCCUUC
rnacentral:rRNA from 1 species